AGGAGCUGGAGGGGGAGGUAGGCGGGGCGGCGCGUGACCUAAGGCCUCUCUGCCGCGCGCGCAGAGCGUUAUCCAGACUAGCGAGUGGGAGGCAGAUGUAAAAUCUGGAACGCAGAUUUUAGUUUGUUGGAAGGAGAAAUGUAACAUAGUGAACCACGCAUCUCUGGAGGGUGUAAAGCAGAGACAGCCAAGAGCCAAGGCACUGAUGUUUGAACUGGAAACUUCAAAACGUUUAAUAAGAGUCUUCAGGAUGGGUUUGAACUAGACAAGCUAGAAAUUUCUUUAGAACACCAGCUCUAGCAUGCAUCUCCCACUUUUGGCUUUCCUGGAGAGGAGCUUGAAGAGGUGGUUCUGCAGACAGCCACAGUGAUACUUAGGAAACCAGAGGAAUGGAUUUGACUUUUCUGCUAGGAUUCUCUGUUAUAGUUUCUCCCUGAGUUGUAAGAGGCAUGGAAAUAUACAUGAAACUGAAGAACCUGCAAGGAAGGGAAGUGGAACUUUCCAUGCUGAGUGAAAACUAACCAAGUGGCAGUUGUGACUGAAAACACUGAAACCUACCACGUCCAGAUUCACUG
rnacentral:lncRNA from 10 species